GACGAACCGUGCGAACGUUAUUCGGAAUCAUUGGGCGUAAAGGGUGCGUAGGCGGCGGGGCAAGUCGGAUGUGAAAUCUCAGGGCUCAACCCUGAAACUGCAUUCGAUACUGCUCUGCUCGAGGACUGGAGAGGAGAUUGGAAUUUACGGUGUAGCGGUGAAAUGCGUAGAUAUCGUAAGGAAGACCAGUGGCGAAGGCGGGUCUCUGGACAGUUCCUGACGCUGAGGCACGAAGGUCAGGGGAGCAAACGGG
rnacentral:rRNA from 1 species